rnacentral:misc_RNA from 1 species
AAGUCGUAACAAGGUCUCCGUUGGUGAACCAGCGGAGGGAUCAUUAAUGAGGACAAACCCUCUCCAAACCACUGUGAAUUUACCGUACAUCGUUGUUUCGGUAGGCGGCCCCGGGGGGCCUGGGCCUUUUGGCGCCUGCCGGGCGGCAACUCAAAAUCUCUCAGUUAUUUAUCUUCAGCGGAUUUCAGCCUGCCUAUUUUAGGGUGGCAUAAUCAGUAAAAACUUUCAACAACGGAUCUCUUGGUUCUG